rnacentral:rRNA from 1 species
UAGAUGCGAGAGUAGAGCAUAUCAAUAAGCGGAGGAAAAGAAACUAACAAGGAUUCCCCUAGUAACGGCGAGUGAAGCGGGAAGAGCUCAAAUUUGAAAUCUUAAAGGGUUUCCCUUUACGAAUUGUAGUUUAAAGAAGUGUUUUCUGUUGGAGUUUCGGUAAAAGUUCUUUGGAAUAGGACAUCAUAGAGGGUGAGAAUCCCGUAUUUGACCGUUACUUUCCAGCUGUGUGAUACACUUUCAAAGAGUCGGAUUGUUUGGGAAUGCAGUCCAAAAUGGGUGGUAAAUUUCAUCUAAAGCUAAAUAUUGGCGAGAGACCGAUAGCGAACAAGUACCGUGAGGGAAAGAUGAAAAGAACUUUGAAAAGAGAGUUAAACAGUACGUGAAAUUGUCAAAAGGGAAGCGUUUGACACCAGUGUUGUUUAGUUGAAAAUCAAUUCAAUAAUUUUUGAUUUUAAGUAGUAUUGACUUCAUCAGCUUGCUGCUUUCUUUUCAGGAAUUAUUGAAUGCACUUUUCAGUUAACAAGUCAACAUCAAUUUCUUUUGUUGUAAGAGGGUAAGAGGAAGGUGGCUUACGCUUCGGCGUAAGUGUUUAUAGCCUUUUACCUCUGCAAUCGGAGAGAUUGAGGACAGCAGCGUAGACUCCUUCGGGGUUAGAUACACUUGUGCUAAGCUAUAGCCUUGUAUAGACAACUUGUUGACUAUGCUCAGUCAUGUAGCUUACUCGCUUGUGCUAUUUUACCUACGCUUAGGAUGUUGACACACGCGCGUGCUCG